CCUUCCAUCAAUUCAAUUGCUUACUAUUUUCUGUUGGAAAGGGAUCACGAGUAAUAAUCGAGAAGAUUAGGGGAAUCAAAUCACAAGCAAAUAAUGAGGAAGAUAUGGAAUUAAUUGUAAAUUACCAAGAUUAUGGUAAUUAGAAUUAGGGCAAAAUCUUUCCUUAUGUGUAUAGCUGCUCUUCCUAUAAUACUCGAUGUAAUCUUUGUGACAAUACAAGUUGAAUAAAUAUUACUCCCUCCGUCCCAGAUAAUUCGUCCCAGUAUUCCAUUUUGGUCCGUCCCACAUAAUUUGUCUCACUUCAAACUUUCCAUAUUUGGCAACAAAUUACUCCACUUCAUUUCUCACUUUCGGCUACCCACAUUCCACCAUUUACUCAUCAACUUCAUUUCAUCUCCUUCUUCAUUUACUCCACACAACCUCCACCGAUUCCCCUUCUUCCUCUUAAUUGCUUCGUCGCCUGCCCCAAUUACACCAUUAAAUCCACUUCAUUUCUUCUCCUCAUUCAUUACUCCACACAAGGCUAGAUCUCCAACCGAUUCCCCUUCUUCCUCCAUAAUCUCCAUCUGAAAACCCUAGAUCUACACCAUUCCUCCACCAUUUUCAUCCGCCUCCACACAAAUUCGAACCCCUUCAGGUCCAAAUACUGGACCUACGCCCUCUGAAAACCCUAGAUCUACGGUGAUGGGUGAUUAUCCAGACUCUCCUCCUAGCAUUUUAGCGGCCGAUCUGGCCAAUGUCGUCGUCCCAGAGACGCCGGAGUAUAUGUGGGGUUCUACCUCCGCCAUUGACGACUCUUUCAUCGCCGGAACCCUAGCUGACACUGUUGUUCCCGAAACCCAACUGGAAUCCUUCAUUCCCGUUGAUGUUUGGUCUUCUCAAUCAGCCAUCGAUUACUUGGACUGUGGUUGCCCCUACUACGGGCCGCCACCAAUAGCCCCACACUACAACCGUGUGCCACCACCAGCCACCCCCUCCUAUGGUCCACAAGUCUCAUCCGCCGAUCUAGCUCAAGCCCCUCCCGUCGUGUAUUCGGACUUUGAGAGACAGAUGCUUGCCAUAUUGCUGCCUGGGUUUUUAGAUUUAAUCUAAAUAUGUUGUCUUUCAUUGUUGUUGUUUUUCCGAUUGGGUAGGAGGUUGGGCUUUGUUGGUUUGGGUUAGAGGCUGUGGUUUUAGGUGGGUUGGAGGCUGUGGUUUGUUGGUAUGGGUUGGAGGCUGUGGUUGUUUGUGUAUGCUGGAGGCUGUGGAGUGAUUUUGUGUUGGCUGUUGUGGUUGUUUGUGUAUGCUGGAGGCUGUGGUUUGUUGGUAUGGGUUGGAGGCUGUGGUUGUUUGUGUAUGCUGGAGGCUGUGGAGUGAUUUUGUGUUGGCUGUUGUGGUUGUUUGUGUAUGCUGGAGGCUGUGUUUUGAUGUUGUGUUGGCUGCUGUGGUUUCAUUUGCUGAUUGAAUGUUGCUGUUAAUUGUGUUGACCAUACCCCUAUGAUGAUUUGCAGUGUGUUGUUAUUACAGAUAUGUGUUGAUUAUUAAGCCACCCCUUUACAUGGUUAGGAGGCUUAUUUGUGAGUUGAUAUAAACAGCAAUAUCUGAGGGAAAUAAAAACCAUACACUGACAUUACAACAGCCACCCCUUUACAUGGUUAGGAGGCAGUUUUGUUAGUUAUGCAGCCUUAGAAGCCAUCCCAUACACAUGUAUGGUUUGGAGGUUGCCCUAUGAUGACAAUGUUCUGAGGGAUUAGGAUUUUAGAAGCCACCCCUACACAUGUAGGUUUGGAGGCUUUACAAAAGUGUACAAAAACCAGUUGAUAGCAUAAGUCACACCUAAUCUUGAGGCUUCCACUUCCAACUGCCAAAAAAUGCUUCCUAACUUACUGAUCUCAGAAGCCUACGGCUCUACUAAUACCUGAGAUGUCAUAUGAGGUGAUCUCAUUAUUUUCAGGCUGUUGGAGGUAUGCCACUGCAGCCUUCACUAAAUGUUCUUCAACUUCCAAUGUCUUUGGCAGUAUCCCCAGCCUUGUCAACCUUUCUUUGUUAAUGUGUGGGGUUUUGUAGCCAUUCCCCCCUUCCUCCUUCAAAAUCUCUGUUAAACAUCCUUGAAGAGUCAGAAAAACCUUGUUCAGUGUUCCUGCACUAAGUUCAUCAAAGGCUGCUUGCACAUUAGCCACUAACUCAUCCACUCCCCUAGCCAAUUUGUCAUCCUGUAUAGACUGGAUGGCCCUGAAAAAUCCUAAAUCCAACACAUUACAAUCAGGAGAGUUAGCUGGUUGGCAAAUUAUAUGGAAUCUGAACCCAUCUGUGUUUGCAAUUGACUGAAAUUCUGCAUCAUUAUGCAUGAUGUGAGGUCUGGCAUUGUCUUGUUGGAUGAAUAUCUCCUUGCUUAUGUUAUCUGGCCAUUUAGCCUUGAUUGCUGGUAUGAUCUGCAUCAUUAUCUCAGUGUGUGAGGCCUGGAGUAUGAUUUGAUACAGUUUGGAAAAAAAAUUGAUGCAAAAACAGUGUACCUUAUGAAUAAGGCAUUCUCUCAUUACAUCCUUGUUCACUGAUUGAAUGGGCUUGGUCUCCAAGGUGCCUCUUGGUCUGUUCUUUGAUUUUCUCAUUGCUGGCUCUUGUCUUGUGAAUGGAAAGAUGGCUAUUUUUCCAUCAAAUAUGGCAUCUCCACUUUGUCCAAAGUAUGGUCUACACACUGCACACAUAAACAUCACCUUUGUGAUGAACCUCUUUGACUUGCAUGACCUAUAUGGUUCUUCCUCAUCUGGCAGCAGGUUCACCACUUUGGAUUUGCUUGCUGGCCUCUGCCCAGAUCCGAUGGACUGUCUUCCUGCUCACUCCAAAUUCCUUUGCUGUUUUGACAAAACCUCCAUAUGGUAUUUUACCUAAACGGCUCACUUGUAG